UAUGGCAGAGUAAUGCAAUAAACUUAAGAUUUAUAAAUGAGNNAAAAAAUUCUCUAUUAGAAU
rnacentral:tRNA from 1 species